GUAAGAGGAGUUGCUUGUGGGUGUUCUAAAGUUUUAUUUAAUUGUGAUCUUUCGUUGUGGAUUGUAUGAAAUGAAGAUAUUGCACACAACUCUUAGCUUUUAUUUAGGCAAUAUUCUAUAACAUGUGCCAUAUAUGUUUCUUUUUAGUUUGGACAUUUGUAUAUAAUGAUUCCGUUAAACACUUGUGUUGUAUCAAUACCAAAAAUUAACACGUGUAUGAUAUUAUUCUAGAUAUAUAUUAUACGGUUUGUUAAACAAA
rnacentral:lncRNA from 1 species